rnacentral:rRNA from 1 species
AUACAGAGGGUGCGAGCGUUAAUGGGAAUUACUGGGCGUAAAGCGCGCGUAGGCGGCUUAUUAAGUCAGAUGUGAAAUCCCCGGGCUCAACCUGGGAACUGCAUCUGAUACUGGUAAGCUAGAGUUUUGGAGAGGGAAGUAGAAUUUCAGGUGUAGCGGUGAAAUGCAUAGAGAUCUGAAGGAAUACCAGUGGCGAAGGCGACUUCCUGGCCAAAAACUGACGCUGAGGUGCGAAAGCGUGGGUAGCAAACGGGAUUAGAAACCCUUGUAGUCC